rnacentral:rRNA from 1 species
UACGAAGGGGGCUAGAGUUGUUCGGAAUUACUGGGCGUAAAGCGCACGUAGGCGGCCUUGUAAGAUGGGGGUGAAAUCCCCGGGCUCAACCCGGGAACUGCCUUCAUGACUGCAAAGCUAGAGGAUGCGAGAGGUUAGCGGAAUUCCGAGUGUAGAGGUGAAAUUCGUAGAUAUUCGGAAGAACACCAGUGGCGAAGGCGGCUAACUGGCGCAUUUCUGACUCUUAGUUGCGAGAGCGUUGGGAGCAAACAGG